GUUGAACGCUGGCGGCAGGCCUAACACAUGCAAGUCGAACGAGUGGCGGACGGGUGAGUAAUGUCUGGGAAACUGCCCUCUGGAGGGGGAUAACUUCUGGAAACGGUUGCUAAUACCGCAUACCAUCUCAUGUGCCCAGAUGGGUUUAGCUAGUAGGUGGGGUAACGGCUCACAUGGUCGACGAUCACUAGCUGGUCUGAGAGGGUGACCAGCAAACUUGGAACGGAGACACGGUCCAGACCCCUACGGGAGGAAGCAGUGGGGAAUAUUGCACAAUGGGCGCAAGCCUGAUGCAGCAAUGCCGCGUGUAUGAAGAAGGCCUUCGGGUUGUAAAGUACUUUGAGCGAGGAGGCGUUACUCGCAGAAGAAGCACCGGCUAACUCCGUGCCAGCAGCCGCGGUAAUUC
rnacentral:rRNA from 1 species